UUGGAUUGUUGGUAUAAUAUAUCGUUGGAAAAAAACAACACUAAUAUGCUGAUAUCUGAAAUACCAAUAUUUCCUCAGUAUACAAUCUAUGUAAAUCGAAUGGAGUCAUUUGAAAUCUGGCCGAAACAUUUACCAGUGAUGAAGGAAGAUCUUGUCGAAGUAGGACUUGUAUUUACUGGAGUUUGCGACAACGUACACUGCUUGUUUUGCGGCGGUGAACUGAGGAAUGGGGAACAGGAUGAUGUACCAAUGGAAGAACAUAAUAAUUUGUAUCUAUAUUGGUGCCUAUACGUGCUAUUUAUAAAGAAUCAGGCUAAUGUAGAAAAACAUAUAGAAAACUAUGAUACCUGAAAUAUUGACUGCAUGUUACUCAAAGCCGACCGAAUGAUCUCAUACGAAACGAACCGAGUUUAUAGAAAUAGUUCUGAGAUAAACCCGUACAAAAGCGUUGCAGCUCAGAGUUGUUUGGAAAAUGAUUACCCAGAAGAAAAGGUCAAACAAGCGAUAGAUAUUUAUACCCAAAGAAACGGUACCCGUGAAUUCAAAGGAAGAGAUUUGUGUGAGAUUAUAUUUGAACUCGAGGAAAACGAUGACCAAUAGCAUAAUCUAACAUGAUUUUUGUUUGUUUGUUUGUUUUGGGUUUAACGCCGUUUUUUCAACAGUAUUUCAGUCAUGUAACGGCGGGCAGUUAACCUAACCAGUGUUCCUGGGUUCUGUACCAGUACAGACCUGUUCUCCGCAAGUAACUGCCAACUUCCCCACAUGAAUUAACUCGUGCAAGAUGUGAAUACAAAAUCUAGAUUCUUUGGCAUUAUUUGCUUUUGACCAUUUGAGUUGCAAACAUUGUGUCCCAGUGUUUCACCUUCUACAAGCAACUUAUAUGAUCAAGACGUUUCCAUUCUACAACCGAUCACUGAAGUAUUUAAACAAUGGAUCAUAUUUUUAGCUCGACUAUUCGAAGAAUAAGUAGAGCUAUCCUACUCACAACGGCGUCGGCGUCAAACCUUAGCUAAGUUUUUCGUACCAGUCCACAUUAUGACAAAGUCUUUUGGGGUAAAGCUUUGAAACUUU
rnacentral:misc_RNA from 1 species